UUGUCAUCCGACGGUGUCUCAUCUGAAUCAGCUGUUUAUCGUAUGAUAUGUACGGGUAAAAAAUGUUAAGGUAAGAGUGGUGUGAUAGGUAUUCUUUUGUGUUUAUUGUGAAACUUAAACAAAGACAUUGGCAUUGGGCGAAAUUUAGUUCAGAUUUACGAUUCGGAAAGAUAAAAGUAGCAACACAAAACUGCCAAGAUGCACGGGAUGAUGAAAAUUUUUUCCAAUUUCAAAGAUUUCUACAAUGACAUAAAUGGUGCAACGUUAACUGGUGCUAUAGACGUCAUAGUUGUUGAACAGCCUGAUGGGUCCUAUAACUGUUCUCCGUUCCACGUGAGGUUCGGAAAAUUGGGGGUGCUUAGAAGUAGAGAGAAAGUGGUUGACAUAGAAAUCAAUGGGGAACCACAAGAAAUUCAUAUGAAGUUAGGGGAGAGCGGGGAGGCAUUUUUCGUAGAAGAAUUAGAGGAAGACGAUGAUGAAGAAAUUCCAGAACACUUAGCAACAUCUCCUAUACCAGUUUCUGACUUCGAAACAUUAUUUAAAAAACAAGGAAGGCGUCUCAGUCUGGAAGACAUCUCCAAUCUGGGAUUGGAAAACGAAGAAAAUGACUACAAAACGCGUCGCAAUACGGCAGACAACGAAAGUAACAAGAUGCGAGAACGCAACUUCAUCAGACGACAACUGGUCUUGGGUAACCUAGAAAUAAAUAAUGAAAAUUCAGCAGAAGAAAUGACACUAUCUAUAAUAUCCGGAAAGCUCAGUAGCGAAGAUUUAAGCAAGAGCCACAACGACAUUUCUGAAACUAUUUUUAAAAUGGACAGCUUGGAUAUAGAUAUCAGUAAAACCGAAGAACUAAAAUCUGAAAAUCUGGUAUCUCCUGUAUCAAACCUUCCUAAAAUCGACGAUCCUACAAACGAAAGUAAAAGUAGUAAGAAAAGGCGAAAGAGAGUACGGCGAAAGAAUGCUCCAAAGAAAUCUAGCAGCAUAAACCAAAUGACUAGCAGCCAGAUAUCAGAAAACCUGGAAACUAACGACACCAUUACUGAUAGGAGUUCCUUGGAUAGCAAUGGGUCCGAUCCUGAAUUACAAGGAAAAUCAUCCAAGAAAAAUGAUGACAACGUUCUUCGCGUCGAUACUUCCCAUAUUAAGAAAAUAGACGCAGAUUUCCAUUUCUUUAGUGACACGGAACUGACAAAACCCAGUAUUGGAGAUUGCAGAACUGGUUCUGUCGAAAAUGUUGAAAACGUCCAGUCUGAUUCAGAAAUUGAAGUUAAAGCAAGGAAAGAUGAGCCUCUUGACAACGCGAAGAGCUGGGAAUGGGGAGGCUUCCCUAGCGUCUCCCAGACUAACUCUCCAGUGAGCGACAAUCCCAGACAAGAAGAACGUAGGUCGAUGCUAAGCGGUAUGUUCUCUUUUAUGCAACAGAAGCAUGGUGCUCAAAAUCCUUUAGAGGGGGGAAUGUACUUGUCAGAUAUUACUUCCGGUACUGUCGAUCAAGAAGUAGCUCAGAUCUAUUUCAGUACGACCAAGGACAGAAAAGACGUGGAGGUGGAUUGUGAAUCAGGAAAUGGUCCUUCAUUGACGCAGAGUCCCAAUAGUGCCGAUGGAUGCAAGAGUAUCGACUCCGACUUCGAGGAACAGAAUAAAUUAGCACAGUCGUUCUCCCAGGAGAUAUCGCUUUCGCUUUGCGGGUGGGAUCCAGAACCGAACUACAACAGAUUUUUGGAGAAGGUAGUGAAAUUCAGCGAUUUGUGCAACAAUCCCAUUCUAUUCGAGAGUCCCAGCUUGGUAGUAAGGAUAAAGGACAAAUACUACACGUGGAAGGUAGCAGCUCCAAUUAUUACCAGUAUUAUGGUUUACGGAAGACCUUUGGUACAAUCAUCUGUGGAUCAGUUGUGUAGUAUUCAUAUGCCGAUUAGUACUCCGCAGGAGCUGAAAGAAGGACCAAAGCAGGAAGUUGGAAGAAGAAGUUGGUGGAGCUGGAGACGAGGGGGUGCUUCGAGAGAAACCACUCCUGCCCCUGAAAACGAGAAUGACGCACUCAAGACUGCCGAUACCAAAGACGUUGUUAUAGAAGUAGACGACGACUCCAAAUUAGAAGACAAAAAUGAAGACGUUAACGAGCAAAUUGAUGUACCCAGAUCUCCGAGCUCUAGCUCUGAUAAGUAUAGGAAAACUUUGAGACUGACUUCAAAACAAAUUGUUCUAUUGAAUUUGCGGGAUGGUAUGAAUGAAGUGGAAUUCAGCGUGACUACUGCAUAUCAAGGUACCAGCAGAUGUCAGUGUCAUCUCUACAAAUGGAAGUGGGAUGACAAGAUCGUAGUAUCCGAUAUUGAUGGCACCAUUACAAAGUCUGAUGUAUUAGGCCACAUUUUACCCAUUGUUGGCAAGGAUUGGGCACAGACCGGAGUGGCUCAGCUAUUUAAUAAAAUUGAAGAUAACGGUUAUAAACUACUGUAUCUCAGUGCGAGAGCCAUUGGUCAAGCAAGGAUCACACGAGACUACUUGAAAUCUAUCAAACAAGGAGAUCUGAGCAUGCCUGACGGUCCAAUACUUUUAAAUCCAACAUCUUUGAUAACUGCUUUCCACAGGGAGGUGAUUGAAAGAAAACCCGAGCAGUUUAAAAUUUCGUGUAUGUCUGAUAUAAAAGCUCUAUUUCCAACGGAUUCUAAUCCUUUCUAUGCUGGUUAUGGAAACAGAAUUAAUGACGUUUGGGCGUACAGAGCUGUAGGCAUACCAAUAGUUAGAAUAUUCACCAUCAAUCCAAAAGGUGAACUCAAGCACGAGUUGACGCAGACCUUCCAGUCCAGUUACUCUGGCCAAUCGCUGGUGGUCCAUGAUGUAUUUCCCCCUCUUUUAAGCAAAAUUCAAUACGAUUCCGGCGAUGAUUCUGAUUACGUUGACGACUCAGAUUCUGAGUCAUCAUCGUUACACAUGACAUUGUGAUGAAUUCAUCGCCUUCAGAUCUUUAUAAAUUUUAUAGUUUUUCUGGCAGCUCUUAAAUAAAAAUUAUUAUCGAAGUAUGAUCAAUAAUAAAGAAACAUGUGAAACAUUAUGUAAAAGUCUCUUGAAUUGUUUACUCGAGGUAAUAAUUUUUAUUUAAUAAGAAACAAGGCUGUCAAUUAAGUAUUUUUGUACAUAUUUGUUAUUUAUUAUUAUUAUUUAUGAAACAUGUGUGUUUUGUCUAUAGCGCAAUGCAUGAGAAUUGGUUUUUGUAAAGCUUUCAUCACCCAUUUAUUACAAGUAAGAUCUACAUAUAUUUAUUCUGUUUUUUUUUCAAUGAAAAAGAUCCCCCUUGUAUAUCUUACUUUGACUCAUAGUGCUUUUAUUAUCAAACAAAAAAGAUAAAACACACGUGUCUAAUUGUUAACAAAAAAUAGUACAAAAUAGUUUAAAUUUCCCGAAAGCUAAGUAUGGGGUUUAAUCGUUUCGGUUCUUCCGCUCAACCCACCUUCAAUCCACGUGGCUUCUUGCAUCGAUGUUUAGUAGUUCAAAAUGCUACCCCAUCAUGACCGUCAUAGUGGACCAGCUGUUCCCAUCUCGUUCCGAAGCCGCCAGUGAUUUCUCCCAAAACGUUUAUUGGCGAGACCCAAUCCCCACUAUCGAGGAAGUACCCGAAAUCUAAAUGUUCAAAACAAAAUUACGGCAUUAUCUGCAUUUAUAUAUGUAAACCUCUGUGAUUAGCUUCAAACAGUGUGUGCUUUUUAUCGAUGAUUCCAUUGACAUUUAGUUUUUGUACGGACUCCGACAUUAGUAGUGCAGGCAUUGUUGUUUUAGUAUUUACCUAAUUUGUUAUAAUAAAAGAAAGACAUGUUCACAUCUGUGUUCAUAAUAGAUUAGACGGUAGACAUUUGGCCAAAUUACACAUAUUUGAACAUAA
rnacentral:misc_RNA from 1 species